rnacentral:rRNA from 1 species
UCGGGAAUAUUGGACAAUGGGCGAAAGCCUGAUCCAGCAACGCCGCGUGAGUGACGAAGGCCUUCGGGUCGUAAAGCUCUGUGGGGAGAGACGAAUAAGCUUUGUGCUAAUCAGCAGAGCCUUGACGGUACCUUCUUAGCAAGCACCGGCUAACUACGUGCCAGCAGCCGCGGUAAUACGUAGGGUGCAAGCGUUGUUCGGAAUUACUGGGCGUAAAGCGUGAGGAGGCGGCACGAUAAGUCUGAUGUGAAAGCCCUGGGCUUAACCCAGGAACUGCAUCGGAAACUAUUGAGCUAGAGUUCGGGAGAGGGUCGCGGAAUUCUUGGUGUAGAGGUGAAAUUCGUAGAUAUCAAGAGGAACACCGGUGGCGAAGGCGGCGACCUGGACCGAUACUGACGCUAAUACACGAAAGCGUGGGGAGCAAACAGGAUUAGAUACCCCGGUAGUCCCUGAGCGGGCUGGCAAGGCGCAU